GAACUGCUGAGGAGUCCUAUACUACGACGAAACGGCCGUCCAGUGC
rnacentral:hammerhead_ribozyme from 1 species